GUGUCUUUUGAAAGGAGAGCAGGUUAGCACUCCCCUUGACAAGGAUGAAACACACUUUGGGCCGGGAAGGCACAAGUAUUACAGACGAACAGGACGAAAUCAAUGUUAUAUCGAUUUGUAAGUUCAAUUC